UGGACAUCACACGAUAACAGUAUGGAAUAACUUACCAGAGGAAAUAGUAAACAAUGACACUGUAAUUUUUUUUUCAGAUCAAGACUGGAUAAGUUAUGGAUCUUUAAACAAUACAAUAUUUCCCAAGUUUAUGAAGGAUCAGACUAGACCAGAGAUCUUUAUUAGCCUCGCAAAGAAUCCUUGUUCCAAACAUUUCAAGCGUACCAUCUUUGAAUUAAAUCUGUCAGCAAUAUGGAUAAUGAGAGGAAAACUUCAUUAGAAUGAACAAAUUUCAAUAACAAACAUAUAUCUCAGUGUGAGGAUAACUUUUCAAAGG
rnacentral:lncRNA from 1 species